CAUUCUACAAUCUACAUACUCAAUUUUUUAUAUUUCUCGUCGUUGAAUACUUUAGUUUUAGAUUUUUAAAGAGCUGCUGUGGGAUUUUCGGUGGAAAACCUAUCAUUGAAGAUAUUCCUGGCCAUUAUUGGUGAUUGGAAAUUUAACGAAACCUUUAUUUUGCUUCAAAUUCAGUCUCGUCCAAAUUCUGUUGCACUCUAUAGUACGUGAAAUCACAGAACUGGUAUGGCGUCGUGAUGUAAAAUUGAAGCCUUGCCUUUCAGAAUUUGUUUCACACGUUCUGACAUAUUUCAGUGUUGUUGUUUCUAAUUGAGUCAUUCUCCACCAUAAAUAGCAUGUCUAAAGACCAUUUAGCACUUGCUUUUGUUUAAAUUCAAAGCUACUUCAAAUUGAAGCGUCUAUUUGACUACAACACAUGGAGCUAUUGAAAUGUGAAUUGUUAACUUGGAAAAGACUUGUCGAGUGGAGUUCAAAAUCAUUUUGCUGCUGCUAACUUUGCAAUAGCACGUCUCCUUCUGGGACAGGAAGAAACAAGUCAAACAACGUACUAUUUUUACCGAUUGUUGUGGCAAGCUUAGAGAUUGUUUACAUGUAAAUGGAUAUUUUCUGACUUACUGUAACUGUAUAUACAAUAACAAUGAUUUUGAAUUUGUGGUAAGCAUUUUUCAAAACAAACAAGGAAGAUACUUCAGAAAGAGAUUGGAACAAGUAAGGAAGGUUCAUAUUAUGGCGAAUAUUCAUACGGUAAGACAAUACAUGUGUUUAUUUUUGUUUGUGUCCUCUCAUAAUGAAAUUAUGACAAGCACAGCACGAACUCACAAUGAACAAAUCACUUAAUCACAUUCGACUCUAGACUGUAUUAAUAUUGACGAUAUAUUCAUUGUAUUACAGUAAUAUUUUGCUAUAUUGUAUUCAGUGCUGUCAAAUUCAUCUCUUCACCAC